AGCGAACGCUGGCGGCAGGCCUAACACAUGCAAGUCGAACGGAUCCUUCGGGAUUAGUGGCGGACGGGUGAGUAACACGUGGGAACGUGCCCUUUGGUUCGGAACAACUCAGGGAAACUUGAGCUAAUACCGGAUGUGCCCUUCGGGGGAAAGAUUUAUCGCCAUUGGAGCGGCCCGCGUCUGAUUAGCUAGUUGGUGAGGUAACGGCCCACCAAGGCGACGAUCAGUAGCUGGUCUGAGAGGAUGAUCAGCCACACUGGGACUGAGACACGGCCCAGACUCCUACGGGAGGCAGCAGUGGGGAAUCUUGCGCAAUGGGCGAAAGCCUGACGCAGCCAGGCCGCGUGAAUGAUGAAGGUCUUAGGAUUGUAAAAUUCUUUCAGCGGGGACGAUAAUGACGGUACCCGCAGAAGAAGCUCCGGCUAACUUCGUG
rnacentral:rRNA from 1 species